rnacentral:misc_RNA from 1 species
CCGCACUCGAUACGCUCCGCACCCGCACCCUAGCGGGCGUGCCGGAGCGCCACCGCGCACACGACCGACUGCUCCACUGGGGCGCCGCGCUCGCACGCGUCUCGCGUGUGGCGCGGGUCCUGAGCCAAAGUCCCUCGCCCACACAAAGCAGGCAGCAAGUGCCGGGUGCCGGGGGAAACCCCCAGAGAGCUACAAGCGCCACGAGGCACCGCCGUACACACCCGCUGCUCGCAUGUCGGCCAGCGGGGCCAUCGGCUGCCGCGGUACGGCUCCCCUCUCAGCGAAGGGUGGGGCGCCUGCAUCUCCGCGCCGGCACUCGUGCUGGUGUGCGGGUGAUCCCGCGGCAGAAGCUAUCGGUGCGCGCUGCUCCGUGCCGGCAGCACCUCGCGUGCUUCCGCGUGCUGUGCAGCGCGUGCCAUGACGGGCGGCGCACCCGCCGUGCAUCCACCCCCUACGCCGCGUGCGCGCACGUCUCCGGGCGUGUGUGCGUGCGCAGUCGGAUGCGAAUGAGUCGCGCACCUGCGCGUCCCGCGGCGGGGCCUGUGCCACGUGCGCAGGCGUGCUGCGCCAGUCUCCCCACUCGGUGGUUUCUGUGCGACGUUGGGCAACACACGCGACGGGGGGGAGAGGCACACGCCCGCCCCCCCCGCCGCAUAACACCGUACAGUCAUGAGCAGCUGGCGGACGGGCAGGCCGCUGCGGCGGCCGCCACGCCAUGCAGAAGAGGGCUUAUCGCACACACGAACCCGUCACGACGACGCGGUGGUGCGCGCUGCCGCAGCCGCUCCGCCACGCGUGAUGCGCGGUGCGCUGUGUGUGCCGUGCCGUGUCGUGUGCUGGGCGCUGCUGUGGUGUGUGGCGUGUGCGGGCCGCCUGUGCUCCGCGCGGCUACCGUGUACAUGUGUGUCUGCGUCCCCUGUGUGCCAGCGGUGUGCUGGCGUCCGCCACUCUCGUGCGUGGCGCCGUGGCUGCGCACGCGCGCCUGCUCCGCAGGCCCGUGUGUGCCGCAGCAAUGCCUGUGCGGCGGUGUCUUUCCAAUCCCGAAGCACCGCGAGGCAGCUUGGACACUCCCCCACCUCUGCGUGUCAACGCAGCUGAUCUCUCCCGUGCCGUUCUAGAUGUUUUGCCUCUUCUCGCUUCUCUGUAUCCCCUCCGCUUCCCCGACGCUCAAAGUGUUACUACUGGGGCGCCGGCAGUCUUGAUGUCGGGACUAGCGUGGUGGGCAACGAGCUUCCGAAUGAUGCAUUGGUUGUGAUCCAUGGCAGUGGCGUGCUCUCCUCUUUUCAUUCUGCUCUCCUUUCCUAGCUACCUCCUCUCCACCCCCUUCCGUCAG